rnacentral:rRNA from 1 species
CACGUAGGAGGCGAGCGUUGUCCGGAAUCAUUGGGCGUAAAGAGCGCGCAGGCGGCUUGGCAAGUCGGGUGUGAAAUCCCGGGGCUCAACCCCGUGACUGCAUUCGAUACUGUCAGGCUAGAGGUAGGUAGGGGAGAUCGGAAUUCCUGGUGUAGCGGUGAAAUGCGCAGAUAUCAGGAGGAACACCGGUGGCGAAGGCGGAUCUCUGGGCCUUACCUGACGCUCAGGCGCGAAAGCUAGGGGAGCGAACGGG